rnacentral:misc_RNA from 1 species
UGCACCGGGGAUCGCCGGGAUCUGUGGACCGCCGACCGCGUCCCUCGCGCCGACGGAUUACGUGACGGCGGCAUGCUAUCCCCCGGGAUCACAACUUACCCUGACCGCCACUCACCCUCAGCCCCACGUCGUUGAUCCCGCCAUGACGCCCACCUCGGCGCCGGUGCCGACCCCGACGUCGGCGUCGGGCCCCAACAACCCCGUCGCCAUGAGCCAGCUGGGGACCGUCUACGCCACCAAGAGACGGCGUCGGAACGGAAAGAGCUUAAAACCACCACAGAAAGACGGGGUGACAAAGUCAAAUCCCAGCAAGCGGCAUCGAGAACGAUUGAACGCCGAGCUGGAUACGCUGGCGUCAUUACUUCCUUUCGAGCAAAAUAUCCUCAGCAAGCUGGAUCGACUGAGCAUUCUCAGACUCAGCGUAAGCUACCUCCGCACCAAGAGCUACUUUCAAGUGGUGAUGCACAAAGAUAAGGAGGAGAAUUCGCACCACGACUCGCAUUACAGGACGAGAGAGCUGGCGGCGCUCGCCGCUUAUGACCAUCAUCACCUCGACGGCGAAAUGUUCCUACAGGCACUGAACGGGUUCCUGCUAAUACUGACUUGCGACGGGGAAGUGUUUUUCGCUACCCAUAGCAUAGAGAGUUAUCUUGGCUUCCAUCAGUCUGACAUUGUUCACCAGAGUGUCUAUGAACUGGUGCACAGCGAAGACCGGGAGGAGUUGCAGCGGCAAUUAAUGUGGAAUUCUUUCCUGCCCGCCGAAAGUGCAAGCCUGCCGUUGCACGAUGCGCUCUCGCCCCAGCAUUGUCAUCUGCUCGAACGUAGCUUCACGGUUCGCUUCCGUUGUCUUCUCGACAAUACAUCCGGUUUUCUGCGUCUCGACAUCAGGGGCCGAGUUAAAGUACUUCACGGCCAGAACCGGAAGACGGAAGAGCCACCCCUGGCCCUAUUUGCCCUGUGCACGCCGUUCGGGCCACCCUCGCUCCUGGAGGUGCCGCAGAAGGAAGUAAUGUUUAAGAGCAAACACAAGCUGGAUCUCGCGCUCGUGACGAUGGAUCAGAAAGGAAAAAUGCUUCUAGGGUACUCUGACGCGGAACUAACGAAUCUCGGUGGCUACGAUCUAGUCCAUUACGACGACCUGGCCUACGUUGCUAGCGCUCAUCAAGAACUGUUGAAAACUGGUGCAUCGGGCAUGAUAGCCUACAGAUUUCAAACGAAGGACGGCGGAUGGCAGUGGCUGCAAACCAGCUCUAGACUGGUCUACAAAAACUCGAAACCAGACUUCGUGCUUAGUACACAUCGACCUCUUAUGGAAGAGGAAGGUAGAGACCUGCUCGGCAAACGUACGAUGGAUUUCAAGGUGAGCUAUCUGGACGCCGGAUUGACCAAUAGCUACUUCUCGGACAGCGACACUCUGACGGGAUCAGUCAUGACGCCGACAUUACCAACGCAACCGGCGCCCCAGCGAGUGAAUAGGCGAUACAAGACGCAGCUGCGGGACUUCCUCUCGACGUGCCGCAGCAAACGUACCAAGCUCUCCGCUCAGUCGUCGGUCUCGCCGCCAGUUACUCCCACAGUCGCGUCCGUGGACUAUCUCGCGGCGGAUACCAACGCGGCAGCCGCAGUCGCUGCGGCGUAUAGCAACUUGAACACCAUGUACGCGCCACCGUACGCGCCCACAGCGGUAGCGGCGAGCACCGAUCCUUCUCUAACUUACAUCGGUCAUACUAGCAAUUAUCAUCAGACUCUCUAUCCCGCGAGUGCGUUAGAUAACAGGUAUCUCACAGCUGCAACAGAGAAUCUAUUUCAAACGUACAGACCGCUGGGUUCGUAUUAUCCGGAAUACCAUACCGGCACUGCGUACAACGGCUUCAUCGACGUGUCGUUGCCCACGUACGAGACUCAUCAGCUGACCAGUAAGACAGAGGAGAAGCUCUACUGUCAGCAGCUUGGUAGUGGCGAGUCCCCCAAGUACAGCUACGUGGAGACGAGACAUCCCGGAAGCGUCAGUGGUUCACCCUAUGCCGCCAGCCCCGUGGCAAGCGUGUCUACGAUGCAUCCAACGACGACAACGGAUAUGAAUGCGGUACGUGCUGGCAGUAGGCACUCGCUGGAGGGUGGCGCGUCGUCCAGCAAUUCCGCCGGGAGCUCGCCGGUGACCGGAGCUGCCAAUGGUAUGCUAACGCCGAAGAUCGAGGACGUAAAACCCGAGGUGUAUAACAACGAGGCGCCGCGGCAGACUGUGCUAAUGUGGGGUGCGCCGCCGUCGCGCACACCCCCGAGAAACAACGGCAGCUACAGCCCACCGACGCCGCACUCGACUCACUCGUCCACGCACUCGACCAACACCACCGGUGAUCCGCUCAAGUCGCUUGCAGAGAUGAACUCAAUGAACGGGGACUGCAAAUGGCGGCAAACCUCCCCGACGGAUCAGCAAGUAACUGCGCCGAGUCCGCCGAGGAACAAUAAAACGCAACAGUCUCAGCAACAGCAGCAGCAGCAACAACAACAACAACAACAUCAUCAUCAGCAACAGCAGCAGCAUCAACAACAGUAUCCUGUCACGACGUCGCAAUAUCAAGCAGCCGCAGCGGCAGCUGCAGCCGCUGCCGCCGCCGCCAGCACCAUUAGUUAUUCGCAUUCUCAUCCGGGCCACAGCGGACAUGGGGAAACGGGCACCGAGGUAUGGCAAGGAGUGCAACACCAUCACUACCAGUACUAUCCCUACCACCAUCACCACCCCGCACCACCAAGGCACACGCCCCACACGCCACCGUCAGUUGCGGGAACGGGGACGGGGGUGGCGGCAGGCAUGGGCAUGGGCACCGGGGUGGACAACAGCACCAGCAGCAACAACAGCAACGUCUUGUACCACCCUCCGCACCACCACCACCACCACGUAGUGGGAUCAUCAGCGGCAGCGGCGGUGGCGGCGGCGGGAAUGGGCCCAACUGUUCCACAGAUUCCAAACCGGACGCCGGGAGUCCUUUGCUGUCCAUCUCUGAGGUGACUAACACCCUGCUCAACCAAUAGUCCUUUGGUCACUUUAUGUCAGUAAUGAAGGUAUUUUUGAAGAGAUAUCUUCACCGAAAUAGAUCCCAAAAUGUGUCACUGUAUCAUACAGAUAAUGUCGACUAAAAAGAAAUAAGAAUAUAUACGUUUAGUACUGUAACAUACUCAUUGCAAAGCUAAUAACCAACCUAGUAUUACGUAACUUUUAUUGCAUUAAUUUAUCCGUACAGAUACAGUUAAGUGGAUGUUCUUCAGGAUUCACAGUUUGAGUCUGCAUGUGACACUGAUCGCAAGCUUGUGUGCGUGAAGGGCAGCGAUCACGAGGUGUUUUCCAAUUUUAUUUUAUUCGCUACUCCAAGAUACAACGAUUGCAUGACGAGUAGCAAUAGCACUCUACUGCAGAACAGAUGAAUAGAGAAAUUCAACAAAUCGAAACUAUACUACUUUUCUUAUUUUCAAAGAUUGGUUAUUGAAAAUAAAUGUCCACUUAUUUAUUUCAAUUUAACUAGUCUUCUAUAAAAUAUGAGAAUAUAAAAAUUUGAUUUAUUAAGAUAAUAAGAAACAAAAUUAUCAUUAUAUCAAAUAAAAUUUUGGAAUAUAAAUGCAGACUACACGCUAUGAAAAGACAAAGAUUGAAAACGAAGUAUUGUAUAAUACGAUCAACAUUAAUUAUACAUCGUUCUGUGAUCUAAUUUUUUACCUUGAAUUAGUAAAAAAAAAGUGUUUUUACUAAUAUAAUGAGAUGUAUGUAUAUUAUAUUUCUUGUUCCGCGAUAAACUGGCAAAUAUUUUUAAAAAAAGUAAAAUAAUGAUCACUGCCCAGACACUGAGCGAAAUGGGAUAAUGAACGACAUGCGUUUGAACCAAAAAAGAAAAAGCGUCAAACACUAUUUAUAUCAAAUAGAGCACAAAAUUUUAUUUUGAUCUUUGACAAGCGCAACAAACAGUGCGACUUUAGUUUGUAUUAAUAUCAUGACGUUUUGUACAAUUCUACUCGUAAUUUAGUGCUUUUGUAUCCCAUGCUAUUGCGUUUAUAUAAUUCUUUUUCUUUUCUAAAAGAGAAUAUGAAUUCUGUGAUAUGUGUUAGGUAAUUUAACAACAAAUUCUUUAGAACAAAGACGUACUCGAGUAUAAUAUUUAUUAACAUAAAGUACGGCGAUAAGAAAACUCGCCUAGAAAUUUAAAAAGAUUUGAACGACAUAUCGUAAUACGAAUUACAAGGAAACAUAAAACGAUGAUUCUUUUCUAAAUGAAGAUUUGAAGAAGUGUUCCGAUUGACGGGAAAUCGAUUCUUGUAAGGACACGCAUUUUAAGAAUGUAUACAGAAAUAAGUGAAAAUUUUAAAAACGCAGGUUGUUAUUAUGAUAGGCGAACAGAUAGUCUUGUUUAAAUAAAAGAAAAAGGACACUACUAAUAUACAUUCUACAUACACACACACACGCACACACACACGCACGCACACACACACGCACACACACACGCACACACACACACACACACACACACACACACACACAUAUGCAUAAGCGAUCUCUCUGAGUUACAUGCAUUAAAAUGGAAUUCCUACUGUUGAAAUAAGACGUAAAUGUAAAGUAAGUUCAACAAGUUCUCUUCCUUUUACGAUAAAUCUAUACUCUCCACUUUAUACCACAGUCUUUUAAAUAAAAAUUAAAAUUUCAGUCAUCGAAUAUUUCAAAUAAAUUCAAUAACCUCUGCGUGACUUUUGGCUUCCUGGAUAUUUAUUUUAAAUAAUUCGCAGUAAUUAAUGGAUUAUUGAUAGAAGUUUGAAAAAAGGUGAAAAUUCCCGUUUGCAUUAGUCGAUUAAUUUUGUUAUGAUUAAAAGAGUCAAAAUUAUCAAUUUGUUGUAAUUUUGUGUAUUACAAGACAAAGAUAAAAUAGAAGAUAAAAAACUAUUUCUAAUAUUCUAUGAGUAUUUUAUGUAAUAUUGUUAUUAACAAAGUGUUACAUCGCAUUUAGCGAUUAAUAUCUUGUAUUAGAAAUAUAGAUAUAAAUAUAUUUCGCAAAAUGUUCUGUUUUUUCUUUCGUUUUUAUUAAUAGGCUACUGUAACGGGAAGCAAUACAAAGCUUUGUGUUCCUUAAGUUAUUCUCUUUCGAGUACUGAGAUUUUGAAAUCUCGUUAAAUGAUUAAAUAAAGGAAAUGGAAAGUGAUGUUCGUAGCCUGUUAAUUCGGCUAAACUUGUCUUGCCAAUAUUUUGUUAAUAAGUUUGUAAUUUUUGUACUUAAUUAAUUUAUACACAUUAUUUAUCUCUAUGUGUAAUUCGUGUUUAGUGAUGCUAGGUGGGCCUUCCAAUAAUUUUAAGCUCAUUCUGUCUCUCUCUUUCUCUUUCUCUUUCUCUUUCUCUUGUAAAGUCAAAGAAAUUUCCCGAUAAAGAAUGAACUUUUAAAAAAGAUUUGUGCGAAUAAGAAUAUAAUAUAUGAGCACAAAGAACGAAAGCUAUUUUAAGGUAACAAUAAAAGAGCUGUUAUUUCCACGCGCUUCUAAAAGUGCAUUAACUUUGCAUAUUCACAUCUGCAUAUCAAAGUGGUAAAAAGUAAAAAGUAAAUUUAAAGAGAGCAGUAUAUAUUUAGGUAUUCUCUUCCAUACUUUUCGAAUCAUCGUAUCAACUAUAAUACAUAAGACAUAUCAGUUGUACAAAAAUGAUGCUCCCUGUUAAGGAUAAUAAGCGAAUAAUUCCAUUUUCUUUGUGUUUUUAUUUUUAACUGAUUGUAAAUUUUAUAUGUUCAUACGUAUGAGAUAUAUAUCUCAUUCUCAUCAUAAUCAAAACACUGGAUGCAAAGACUAAGCAAGUAUUAUAUUUAAUGAACAAAGUGCAUGAACUAUUGCUCGUUAGAAUGCACAUUUUGAAAUAAUAAUUAACUAAUAAAUUAAAUGUAUUGAAAGAAAAUAUAUAGAGGGCUCAACCUACAUUAUUUUUUUUAACUAACUGAAGAAAAAAUGUUUCGGACUUAAAUGUUUUGGAUAUUUUAUUGCAUUUUUGCAAUAUUCAGCCAAGUUAGACUUGACUCUUACACGAUAUUUGCAUCCUGAUUUUCGAUUAUCUCAAUAUCCUAUUCUACUUUGAUUGACUUUGUAAUUAAAUGCAGCUCAAGAUAACUCGAAACUUAUUACUAUCAGACAUGUCCUCAUUGUCUUGCAAUUCUCGGAUAAAUUAUGCAUAAAAUAUUUAUUAUAAAAUAACAAUUUCAAAAACUAGAUUAUAUUUUGAAAACAUUUUUCUUGAAGCAAACAUUGCUACUUUUCAAUUUUGAUUUAACUUGCUAAAGUCUUCCCGGUGUCUUCUUCGUGUAUUUGUAUAUUUCUGCAAUAUAUAUUUUAAUUUGCAAAAUAUAAUUCUGUUUGUUUUUUUAAAAAUGUACAAUUGAUUAUAGAUACAUUUGAUGUUAGACAAAUGUUGAUAAAGAAAACAAAAAUUGGAAUUCAGAGAAUUGAGAAUAAGUCGAUAGUGAUGAUCCGUUUCGAAUCCAAAUCUUGUGUAUAUCUAUAUAUUUCUGACUUAUACUGUUAUAGCUUACGAAAAAUAUUUCUCUGCAAUAUCAUUAAACGUUAAGAAGCUGCUGCUGCUACUACUCUUACUACUAUUACUACUACUAUUACUAUUAUUAUUAUUAUUAUUAUUAUCAUUAUUAUUAAGUAAUCGAGUCUAGUCCAUUCAUUAAAAAGAGCAAAUUAGUACCGAUAUAUGAUAAUAUGUAUGCUUAAAUUGUGAUAAUAUUCUCGUCGUGAAGCUAAUUUAAUCCGACAAUCUUAUCGAUUAUAAGUUUUUCUUGGUGCAUCAAUGUGUAAAUGUAACUAUAGCAAAAGGAGAUAAUAGUAAUAUGAGAUAUAUUAUCACGAGAUAUAAUAUUUACAGUUGCCUCUACAUUGAGUUAAGAUCGCGAGAAUAUUUUGACAAUCUAAGCAUUAAUGUAUAUUCAUUGUAUAUUUGAAGUAAGAUAUCUUAUAUAACGAACAUAAAUUAAGAUCAUAGUCAGUACAGAUUCUCAAGCAGCUAUCCACAUAGACCGAGAACACGUACCUUAUUUUCUAACAAUUUUACUCACUGGAGUAAAAUGCAAUAUUAUAGUGCGAUUUCAUUCAGCGUACUGCGUAGCAGCAACCACGCUGCUUCGGAAUAGAAUAAUUUCGCCGAGGGAGCUUGAAGAAGCUCAGUUCUUUGAAAAUUUUAGCCGGAUUUUGCGUGAGAAAACUAAAUAGAAAAGUUAAGAUUAAUCCUUUCAAAUAUCAAGCAUUAUACGAAUAAAACAUUCGUAAAUUCUUCGUUCGAGAGUUAUUUUCUAUCCUGCAGUACUCUAAGAUGAGAAAUAAAAUGUUGCUUAUUUAACGAAUUAUAAUUUUAUAAAAGUUGAUGACGAAAAGUAUAUUUGAAUAAAAACAACUUUAUUUUAAUGUGAUGUUCCAGGUGAUUAAUUUAUCAAGUGCAUUGGCUGAUCUGUAAAAUUUGAUAUUUUUGAUGUUUUUAAAAUGUUUUAAGAGACUAUCAGUUAUUAUUGUUUCUUUUUAGCUAAAUACUUUGUAUUACUAAAAAUAUAACUUUCUUUGUUACCUAUAGUAUAUCUAAAUGCAUAUGUAAAAAAUCAUAUAUGCUGAAUAAAAAGAUAUAAUUUUUCGAACGGAGAAAUAUACAAAUAUUAAAUUGUUCCGAACCUAUCAUUAUAAUAAUUACUAUUUACUUAUUUUUUUCAAAUAAUUUUAUUUUAUAUGUCUGAAUGUAUUGAAGUCGAAUAACAGUACCAUGCCAAACCGAAUUUUGAAUCUUGAUCACUCCAUCCAUUUUUCUCUGAUAUAUUAUAUCUUAUAGGAUUUAGCUACUAUUAACACCAUUGCUAAUGAUAAGUUCUACAAAUAAAAUUUAAAAACUGUAUCAAAUGUUUAUAUAUCUGAAAUAAAUUAUAAUAUGAUAAUGCAAUGAAGUUAUGUUUUAUCAAUUUUUGUGUUUCCAAUGCUUCCUUUUUUCCUUCUUUCCCUAAAUCAAAUUUCAUUGUCAAUUUCUUUCACGGCAACAGAUAUAAAAUGUCUUCGAACUUAUUUGUCCCGAGGUAAAUUUAUGAUUUAGAAUUAAUUACAUUGCUUUAUGUAAUUAAAUCUGAAAUUAAUCUUCCC